rnacentral:rRNA from 1 species
UACGGAGGAUGCGAGCGUUAUCCGGAUUUAUUGGGUUUAAAGGGUGCGUAGGCGGGAUGCCAAGUCAGCGGUAAAAGCCCGGGGCUCAACCCCGGCGAGCCGUUGAAACUGGCGGGCUGGAGUUGGAGAGAAGUACGCGGAAUGCGCGGUGUAGCGGUGAAAUGCUUAGAUAUCGCGCAGAACCCCGAUUGCGAAGGCAGCGUACCGGCGCCAGACUGACGCUGAGGCACGAAAGCGUGGGGAUCGAACAGG